UACGAAGGGUGCAAGCGUUAACCGGAAUUACUGGGCGUAAAGGGUGCGUAGGCGGUUCGUUAAGUCUGUCGUGAAAUCCCCGGGCUCAACCUGGGAAUGGCAGUGGAUACUGGGAGGCUAGAGUGUGUCAGAGGAUGGUGGAAUUCCCGGUGUAGCGGUGAAAUGCGUAGAGAUCGGGAGGAACAUCAGUGGCGAAGGCGGCCAUCUGGGACAACACUGACGCUGAGGCACGAAAGCGUGGGGAGCAAACAGG
rnacentral:rRNA from 1 species